rnacentral:rRNA from 1 species
UACAGAGGUCUCAAGCGUUGUUCGGAUUCAUUGGGCGUAAAGGGUGCGUAGGUGGCGUGGUAAGUCGGGUGUGAAAUUUCGGAGCUUAACUCCGAAACUGCAUUCGAUACUGCCGUGCUUGAGGACUGGAGAGGAGACUGGAAUUUACGGUGUAGCGGUGAAAUGCGUAGAGAUCCGGAGGAACACCAGAGGCGAAGGCGGCCUACUGGGUCAGUACUGACGCUGAGCCGCGAAAGCCAGGGGAGCGAACGGG